rnacentral:rRNA from 1 species
CCUACGGGUGGCAGCAGUGAGGAAUAUUGGUCAAUGGCCGAAAGGCUGAACCAGCCAAGUCGCGUGAGGGAAGACGGCCCUACGGGUUGUAAACCUCUUUUGUCGGGGUGCAAAGAGAGUCACGUGUGACUCAUUGAGAGUACAUGAAGAAAAAGCAUCGGCUAACUCCGUGCCAGCAGCCGCGGUAAUACGGAGGCUGCGAGCGUUAUCCGGAUUUAUUGGGUUUAAAGGGUGCGCAGGCGGAGGUGCAAGUCAGCGGUCAAAUUGCGGGGCUCAACCCCGUAAUGCCGUUGAAACUGCAUGCCUUGAGUGCGCGAGAAGUAUGCGGAAUGCGUGGUGUAGCGGUGAAAUGCAUAGAUAUCACGCAGAACUCCGAUUGCGAAGGCAGCAUACCGGCGCGCAACUGACGCUCAUGCACGAAAGCGUGGGUAUCGAACAGGAUUAGAUACCCUUGUAGUC